rnacentral:tRNA from 1 species
GAGGCUUAAGUUUAACUAAAGUGUCUGUUUGCAUGCAGCAGAUGUGGGGAAGCAUCCCGCAGGUCUUA